rnacentral:rRNA from 1 species
UACGGGGGGGGCAAGCGUUGUUCGGAAUUACUGGGCGUAAAGGGCUCGUAGGCGGCCAACUAAGUCAGACGUGAAAUCCCUCGGCUUAACCGGGGAACUGCAUCUGAUACUGGAUGGCUUGAGUUCGGGAGAGGGAUGCGGAAUUCCAGGUGUAGCGGUGAAAUGCGUAGAUAUCCGGAGGAACACCGAAGGCGAAGGCAGUGUCCUGGGGAGUACCUGACGCUCAGGUGCGAAAGCCAGGGGAGCGAACGGG